rnacentral:rRNA from 1 species
GUGUCAGCCGCCGCGGUAAUACGAAGGACCCAAGCGUUAUCCGGAUUUAUUGGGUUUAAAGGGUGCGUAGGCGGGUUGUUAAGUCAGUGGUGAAAGCUCCGAGCCUAACUCGGAAACUGCCAUUGAUACUGACGAUCUUGAGUACAUUUGAGGUGGGCGGAAUGUGUCAUGUAGCGGUGAAAUGCUUAGAUAUGACACAGAACACCGAUUGCGAAGGCAGCUCACUAAACUGUAACUGACGCUGAGGCACGAAAGCGUGGGGAGCAAACAGGAUUAGAAACCCCGGUAGUCC